UGGGGAAUUUUGGACAAUGGACGUAAGUCUGAUCCAGCCAUGCCGCGUGCGGGAAGAAGGCCUUCGGGUUGUAAACCGCUUUUGUCAGGGAAGAAACGAGUUUCUCUAAUACAGAGACUUAAUGACGGUACCUGAAGAAUAAGCACCGGCUAACUACGUGCCAGCAGCCGCGGUAAUACGUAGGGUGCGAGCGUUAAUCGGAAUUACUGGGCGUAAAGCGUGCGCAGGCGGUUAUAUAAGACAGAUGUGAAAUCCCCGGGCUCAACCUGGGAACUGCCUUUGUGACUGCAUAGCUAGAGUACGGUAGAGGGGGAUGGAAUUCCGCGUGUAGCGGUGAAAUGCGUAGAUAUGCGGAGGAACACCGAUGGCGAAGGCAAUCCCCUGGACCUGUACUGACGCUCAUGCACGAAAGCGUGGGGAGCAAACA
rnacentral:rRNA from 1 species